UGUGGGAUUUGUGAAAAUCGCGGACGUCGAAACAAAAGACAUUCCAAUAAUCCUACUUCCGACAUAAAGGUACAGCGAGCCAAUCGCCUAAGUGAUUGAAUUCGGCCAUCUUUGGUCGCCUUGUGUAGCGUCUACUGGAAGUUGGGAAUAUUGGGAUUUUCUUUGUGGGCAUCGCAUCGCCGUGCAAUUUGUCCGGAGACUUUGCAAAAUGGGGCGUCGGGACGUAACAUCUGCAAUCCCGACGACUCGUUCGCGCACAAAGUUUUCCCCCAUGACGUAGCAGUGCGUUUCAUUUGGAACGUAAGGAGGAUAAUUUGAAAACCACCCUUGAUACGAGCCUAAUUUCAAAAGCAGACCCCAAGGAGUGCAAGAUAAACAGCUAGGUACAAUAAAGCAAGAAGAAUUCUCUCCACCAAGAAGACCGACGUUUCAGCAGUCAUUGUAAUCUUGGCAGAAAAGGACUGUACCAUCAUACUCUGCUGGGAUCAUCACGGACUGAGAUCACGCGACGAGAUAGAUCAUCAUUUUAUUAAACGGGAUGUACAGACUUUACUUCGUCAU